AGCUAAGUAUACACAGCUCGUGUUUAUUAUUCAAUUGUUGUAAUUUGUGACUGAGUCACAUUUUUUGGUUGAUAAAAUUGUCUGGGAUAUCAAAUGGUUGUUCAAAGUUGCUCUUUUUUUGACAUAUGAAGUUUUGAUAUCUUUUUUUUUAUUUUUUGUUUAUAACAACAGAAAAAUCUGUUGUUGAGUUCAGAGAUUUCAAUAUUUCAUACUGCUUUUGAGUGUUGCUAGAAUUAAGAUUUAUUGAAUGCAUUCCAUUGAGAUGAAAUGGAUCUUUACGUGCCUGUAAUUGUUUAUGUUGUCAUGGUUUCCUCUUUUACUUUUAGUUAUGCUUCAAGCAUAUUGUGGUUGUCGGACAGACUUCAAGCAAAAAUUGCAGUCUGGUUGCAAUAUAUUUUGUAUAAAUUCCCAUUUAUUUACAAUGCCUUAGUUGCCAUGAACAAAUUGUUUUAUAUACUAGAUAAUUUAAUAAAUUGAUGCCGUAACGUG
rnacentral:misc_RNA from 1 species